rnacentral:rRNA from 1 species
CCUACGGGAGGCUGCAGUGAGGAAUAUUGGUCAAUGGACGAGAGUCUGAACCAGCCAAGUAGCGUGAAGGAUGACUGUCCUAUGGGUUGUAAACUUCUUUUAUAUGGGAAUAAAGCAUGGGAUGUGUCCUCUCUUGUAUGUACCAUAUGAAUAAGGAUCGGCUAACUCCGUGCCAGCAGCCGCGGUAAUACGGAGGAUCCGAGCGUUAUCCGGAUUUAUUGGGUUUAAAGGGAGCGUAGGUGGAUUGUUAAGUCAGGUGUGAAAGUUUGCGGCUCAACCGUAAAAUUGCAGUUGAAACUGGCAGUCUUGAGUACAGUUGAGGUGGGCGGAAUGCGUGGUGUAGCGGUGAAAUGCUUAGAUAUCACGAAGAACUCCGAUUGCGAAGGCAGCUCACUGGGCCACAACUGAUACUGAUGCUCGAAAGUGUGGGUAUCAAACAGGAUUAGAUACCCCAGUAGUC